rnacentral:pre_miRNA from 3 species
CAGUGGUUUUACCCUAUGGUAGGUGACAUCAUGCUGUUCUACCACAGGGUAGAACCACGGACG